GAUGAACGCUGGCGGCGUGCCUAAUACAUGCAAGUCGAACGCACAGCGAAAGGUGCUUGCACCUUUCAAGUGAGUGGCGAACGGGUGAGUAACACGUGGACAACCUGCCUCAAGGCUGGGGAUAACAUUUGGAAACAGAUGCUAAUACCGAAUAAAACUCAGUGUCGCAUGACACAAAGUUAAAAGGCGCUUUGGCGUCACCUAGAGAUGGAUCCGCGGUGCAUUAGUUAGUUGGUGGGGUAAAGGCCAACAAAGACAAUGAUGCAUAGCCGAGUUGAGAGACUGAGCGGCCACAUGGGGACUAGGACACGGCCCAAACUCCUACGGGAGGCUGCAGUAGGGAAUCUUCCACAAUGGGCGAAAGCCUGAUGGAGCAACGCCGCGUGUGUGAUGAAGGCUUUCGGGUCGUAAAGCACUGUUGUAUGGGAAGAACAGCUAGAAUAGGGAAUGAUUUUAGUUUGACGGUACCAUACCAGAAAGGGACGGCUAAAUACGUGCCAGCAGCCGCCGCAG
rnacentral:rRNA from 1 species